rnacentral:rRNA from 1 species
CCGCACAAGCGGUGGAGUAUGUGGUUAAUUCGAUGCAACGCGAAGACCUUACCUGGUCUUGACAUCCCGGAGACCCUUAGGAAACUAGGGGGUGCUUCCAUCUGGAAGAAUCUGGAGACAGGUGCUGCAUGGCUGUCGUCAGCUCGUGUCGUGAGAUGUUGGGUUAAGUCCCGCAACGAGCGCAACCCUUGCCUUUAGUUGCCAGCAGUUCGGCUGGGCACUCUAAAGGGACUGCCGGUGUUAAACCGGAGGAAGGUGGGGAUGACGUCAAGUCCUCAUGGCCUUUAUGACCAGGGCUACACACGUACUACAAUGGCCGAUACAAAGGGCAGCGACACUGCGAGGUGAAGCCAAUCCCGUAAAAUCGGUCUCAGUCCGGAUUGGAGUCUGCAACUCGACUCCAUGAAGUUGGAAUCGCUAGUAAUCGUGGAUCAGCAUGCCACGGUGAAUACGUUCCCGGGCCUU